rnacentral:misc_RNA from 1 species
GCUACCAAGGAUGAAGUGGUUAUUCAUACCUUGUAGUUCUGGCAGAGGGAUGUCUAAUACUUCAUAGUACAAUAUGUCAGAAAUCUGAUUGUAGUGGACCAGCAUAUCAGACAAAUGGUCAACCCCCCUGUACUUAAUAGGCUGGGGUUUGGGUUGCUGAGAAUAACAGUUGUGAGAUGUCAGUCUUAUUUUGGAUGGAUCAUCUAAACCAAUGUGCUGAGCCACUCUUUCAACAACAUCGUCAUACGUAUGAAGCUUUGACAACUCCAGACAGAAAUCAUCUUCCUUGGGCUUUUCCAGAGACCGAAAGUGAACAACUUGACGAUUGUGCACAUAUUCCAAAAACGAAGGAACAUCAGUACAGCGGAAUUGUUCAU